GUCCACGCCGUAAACGAUGUCUACUAGCCGUUGGGGGGCUUGACCCUUUAGUGGCGCAGCUAACGCGAUAAGUAGACCGCCUGGGGAGUACGGUCGCAAGAUUAAAACUCAAAUGAAUUGACGGGGGCCCGCACAAGCGGUGGAGCAUGUGGUUUAAUUCGAUGCAACGCGAAAAACCUUACCAGGCCUUGACAUCCAGAGAACUUUCUAGAGAUAGAUUGGUGCCUUCGGGAACUCUGUGAC
rnacentral:rRNA from 1 species